GCGGCGGCGGCUUCCCGGUGGCUGGGCGGCUGCAGCGGCUGCUGCUGCUGUUGCUCCCGGGGGCGCUGCUGAGCUUCCUCCCGCUGGCGAGCCCGCACCCGAGUGUGACACACCGUUACGAAAAUGUUAAAGUAGUGGAGAUAUCUGUGCAGCCAACUGCAGUUGAAGAGGUUGUAUCGGAAGGGAAAGACACUAUUGAAGUCCUGCGUAAGAAUUCUUUUUUCCCCCUCCCAUUAUGUGUUCAAAGUGACUUGAUGCCCAGUCAUUUUAAAGUCUUCUCAGAACAGCUUUCUGUUGUUGUCUCAACUGGCCUGUUGUCAUUGCAUGAGCUUUCAGUCUUUGCACAAGUUAAGUUUAUUAUACAGUCAUUAUUUAUGUUUAAUACCUACACUUACUUUGUAAUGUGUUUGUGGAGGUGAGGGUCAGGAAAAAGAGAUCUCUGGACAUAAGGGAUGCACCAGUGUUAUGCCUUCGUCAAAUUUAAAUGCAAAUGUAGAUAUCCACAAUAGAUUUCCAAGAAAGAGAAAGCUAGAGUGAGCAUCACACGCUGUAAUAAAAUAAACACCUACAGGAGAAAAUGGGCACUGCUAUUUUCGUUCUUUUGAGGUGUAGGUCAACCCCCUAUCAGAAGCCCUUCAUGUAAUUAUUGUAGAUUGUGGCCU
rnacentral:lncRNA from 1 species